UACGUAGGGGGCAAGCGUUGUCCGGAUUUAUUGGGCGUAAAGAGCGUGUAGGCGGUUUGGUAGGUCCGCUGUGAAAACUCGAGGCUCAACCUCGAGACGCCGGUGGAAACCAUCAGACUAGAGUCCGGAAGAGGAGAGUGGAAUUCCUGGUGUAGCGGUGAAAUGCGCAGAUAUCAGGAAGAACACCGGUGGCGAAGGCGGCUCACUGGCUCGUAACUGACGCUCAGGCGCGACAGCGUGGGGAUCAAACAGG
rnacentral:rRNA from 1 species